AUCUCCUAGUAUAUAUAUAUAUAUAUAAAACAAUGUGUGUUUACAUUUUUGUUUGAUUUCAAUAGCUAGUACUAAAUACCUUAGAUAAUACUAAUCCACUAACCGUUAGAGGAGCAGCCCACCGUUGUAUAAUUGAUAAUAUUGCGUUAU